CCUACGGGUGGCAGCAGUGGGGGAUCUUGCACCAUGGGGGAAACCCUGAUGCAGCGACGCCGAGUGUAGGCAGACGGUCCUCUGGAUUGUAAACCACUGUCCCCAGGGACGAAGAUGACGGUCCCUGGGCAGGCAGCUCCGUCUAACUACGUGCCAGCAGCCGCGGUAAUACGUAGGGAGCGAGCGUUGUCCGGAAUUACUGGGUGUAAAGGGGGCGUAGGCGGGGAUGGAAGUUGGGUGUAAAAGCUAGCGGCUCAACUGGUAGUCGCAGUCGACACUGCAGCUCUUGAGUGACGUAGAGGCAGGCGGAAUGCGGAGUGUAGCGGUGAAAUGCGUAGAUAUUAGGAAGAACACCAAUGGCGAAGGCGGCCUGCAGGGCUUUUACUGACGCUGAGGCUCGAAAGUGUGGGUAGCGAACAGGAUUAGAUACCCGAGUAGUC
rnacentral:rRNA from 1 species